CAGACACUCAAUCUAACGGCACCUUGAUCUUGAACUUCCAGCCUUCAGAACUGUGAGAAAUACAUUUCUGUUGUUUAUAAGCCACUCAGUCUACGGUAUUUUUGUUACCGCAGCUUGAAUGGACUAAGACAGGACACUAUUGAGCAUCUCUCCUGAGAUGAUGAAUCAAUCAUUCUUGGAACCUGAACACUAAGCCUGCUGAUGAGUGAGGUCACACUCAUUUGGAGCUGCUGGAGAAGAAGAAGGCUAUUUCCUUAUGGACCUUACUGUUAAAGACAGAUGUAAUCAUCAAAUGGAAAAAUCCUCAAAUAUUUAGAAAUUCCAGCAUGUGAAGAGUCUGACUGCACAAGCGAUUGGAAUGAGGAGAUUAGACCCAAGGCCUUCAAUGCAAUUGGUGACCUUUUACUAGCUGAGGUCUAUGUAAAACUCUGUCUUUGAAGGUGAAAUUUCUUCUCUUACCACUUACCAAUGAAUCAUCGAUAACCAAAAAUGAGUUCAACCUGCAGAGUGUCCUGGUAAACAUGGUAGAUAGUCUCCAAAUAUUUACAUUGACAAAGAUUGAGGAAACACAUGUGAUCAAGACACCAUCAUAUCUGAAACAUUAUAAAUUUCUCAUCACCUAAAAAAAAAGUAGGAAUUAUGCAUCCCAGUGGGAGGCUAUGAGUCUGGCCAUCAGAGACAGUGAUGAGGGUAGAUUAUGGGGACAGUUAGCAAAGACAUAAACUUGGUGACUGAGGUCACGGAGGCAAAGCUCUUGCUUGAGAUGUUAGUGAUUCCCACUGCUUUACAAAACAAGGUCAACUGCUCAGAUCUUUCUCUGGCUGGAACCUGAUAAUUAUGCCUCAUUUUAAAUAGUUGAUCAAAAACUUCAAGCUGAAGCCAGCCCUGAUGGCCUAAUGGUUAAAUUUAGGCGAGCUCCACUUCAGUGGCCCAGGUUCAGUUCCUGGGCAUGGAACCAUACCACUCAUCCAUCAGUAGCCAUGCUGUGGUGGUGGCUCACAUAGAAGAACUAGAAGGACUCACAACUAAAAUAUACAACCAUGCACUGGGGCUUUGGAGAGGAAAAAAAGAGAGAGAGAGAUUGGCAACAGAUGUUAGCUCAGGGCGAAUCUUUCCCAGCAAAAAAACCCCUUCAAGCUGAAUAAAUGUUUGGAGGAGAUUCCAGGCCCCCAAAUUACUUGGAGGACCACCUAGAGCAGUCAGCUCAGAUGAUCUCAACCUGGCCACUUUCGUGACUCCCAAGAAUAUGUUGCUCUCUGGUUUGACCCAGAGUGUGGGUUUUGUGCAUUUUUCAAAGUGACCAACUAGGGACUUCUGCUGCUGGGAAGAUGAAAUAGACAUACUUUUCCCUGUUCUACCCACUAAGUACAAUGAAAAACCCUGAACAUUAUAUAUAAAACAAACAUUAAGAAGACUCUGAGAAGUGGAGAGAAGACAGGAGACCAGCUAGGGACAUCAAGACCCGACGAACAGCACAGUUUGAGUUCCCUAAGUUUUCUGUUUGCCUCGUGUAUCUCAGACUUGGAGUUAAAGAAGCCAGCAACCUAGAAAUGCCAACAAGCUAAGAAAAAAAAGUCUAACAAAAGCCUGCUCUCUCCGGUCAAAGGACCAGAAAAGGGAUAUCCUGGCAAGAACAGAAGACUUUUAGUUGAAAACUGCUCUACUGUGGCCAAACACCAUAGAAAAAAACAAUGUUAGCACAGGUUGAGCGGGGAGCCUAGAUGUCCACCCUUAUGAGGCUGUAAUAUAAAUUGUGAAUGUAAAAUGUAAAACUACUGCCAUGGUGGUGUGAGCGAGGGCAGAAUAAGGGGCCUAGAAUUUUAUCCACAAUAGGAGGUAACGAGACCCCCCUUCAUGGAAUCAGUGGAGACCACUGGGGACCCUGGACUCAUACCCCCCUACCCACAGUAAUGUACCCCUUUCCUUCCCACUGGAAGCCUAGUGGAGAGUCAGGAGUUUCACCACUGCCCAGCUAUGACAAGGCCACUCCCCAUCAUGUGGUGUCAUUCGAGGCCACGUGGGGAGCAGUAAUGAGGCACCCCUACCUCUCCCAGCCAGAGAGGUGCGAGUACAGGCCUAGUGGAAACCUGGAACUCCCACCCACUCCCAGCAGUAAUGAGGAGCACCUCCCCAUCAGGUAUCAACAGACCUGAGUAGGAAAUAUGAAUUUCUACCACCACUUGGCAGUAACGAGGUAGCACUCUCCCUUCCCCUGCCAGAACAAUUUCAGGGAAAGCCAGUUAAAACAGAAGGUUUAAAAGAACCCAAAGUCUCAUAACAUACCAAAAUUCCAGGUUUAAAUAAAAAAUCAGUUGUCAUACCCAAACCCAUAAAGAUUACAAACUAAAUGGAAAAAGACAAUCAAUAGACGCCAACAUCAAGAUGAUAGAUGUUAGAAUCAUCUGACAAAGAUUUAAAACAACCAUGAUAAAAGUGCUUCAAUGACCAAUUAAGAAGAGGCUUGAAAUAAAACAAAACAAAAUAAACUCAGCAAAGAAAUGGAAAGUCUCAGCAAAGCAAUAGAAGAUAUAAAGAAGACUCAAACGGAAACUUUAGAAUUGAGAAAAAACUAUAACAGAAAUUAAAAACUGAGUGGAUGGGCUCAACAGCAGAAUGGAGGAGAGAGGGGAACAAAUCAGUAAGCUUGAAGGUAGAACGAUAGAAAUUACCCAAUCUGAACAAAAGAGAGAAAAUAGACUGGAAAAUAAUGAACAGAGCCUCGGUGACCUAUGGGACUAUAACAGAUGACCUAACAUUUGUGUCAUUGAAUUCCUGGAGGGAGAGGAGAAGGAGGACACACUCACUGAAAAAGAAUUGGAUUUUUUUGAAAAAUAAAAACAACCUCACCACACCCAGUAUGAAAUAGAUCAUUUGAAUAGCCUUAUAACUAUUAAGGAAAUUUAAUUUUUAAUUAAAAGAUCCCAAAAAGAAAUCUCCAGACCCAGAUACAGUUUCACUGGAAAAGUCUACCGAACACUUCAGGAAAAACUAACAUCAAUUUUACAUAAUCUCUUUCAGAAAAUAGAACUCUUCCCAAUUCAUUUUAUGAAGCUAGUGUUAUGCUGAUGCCUGUAGGGUAUUUGACGGACUUGAGGGAUGAUUGAGGAAAAAGAUACAACCACAAAGGAAGUAGCAUGCAAGAUUUAUUGGGCUGUGCUUGGAUAGGGUUGCAUGUGAGGGGAAGUUCCUCACAGUAUGAGACGGUCCAGAGGCUUACGGCAAGAGGGCCACCAUUCAGAAGGGGAGGAGGGCAAGGGAACUCCCAAAGGAGAGGGGGAUCAGAGAGGGAGUUUAAGUGUCUAGGUGAUGUCACUCAGCAGCAUGGUGUGGAGUCUCUGGGUCAGAGAACUCUGAGGCAGCUUGGGGUCUUAUACCACGAGGCUCUAUCUUACCAACGGCAAACAAAUGUGGUUGAGGUUUUGUGGGAUAUGCAAAUCAGGCAGACCCUAAAUGGCCAAACAUUUGCCUUUUGGGACUAUUUUUUGACUAAUUGGAUGUUGGAUGUGUAAAAAUUUGAGUUUGGUGCCAGUGGGCUUUUGAGCUAAUGGGUCUCAGCCUGCAGUGAACCUAGGGGACAAUACACAGAGGCUAUCUUGGACUCAUUUAUAUAACAGUACAAAACUAGACAAAGACAGUACAAAAAAAGGAGAACACUACAGUUUAAUAUUCUUGCUUUUUCUCUUUAUUUUUGGUGAGGAAGAUUGGGCCUGAGAUAACACCUGUUGCCAAUCUUCCUCUUUUUGCUUGAGGAAGAGUGGCCCUGAGCUAACAUCUAUGCCCAUCUUCCUCUAAUUAAUAUUCUUAAUGAAUAUAGACACAAAAGUCCUUAAUGAAAUAUUAGCAAAGAGAAUCUAGAUAUAUAUAAAAAGAAUUAUCCACAAUGAUCAAAUGGGGUUAUACCAGGAAUGCAGGGCUGGUUCAAUAUUAAAAAACCAAUCAAUGUAAUCCACCAUAUUAAUGGCUAAAGAAGAAAAGUCACAGUAUCAUAUCAAUUCAUGCAAAAAAAGCAUUUGACAAAGUUAAACACCUGUUCAUGGUAAAAGCUCUCAGAAAAAAAAAAAAACACCUACAGCUAACAUUGUACUUAAUGGUGAAAGACUGAAUGCUUUCCCCCUGAGAUGGGGAACAAGGCAAGGAAGUCUGCUUUCACCACUCUUAUUCAACAUAAUGCUAGAAGUUCUACCCAGUGUGAUAAGGUAAGCAAAGGAGAUAAAAGGCAUACAGAUUGAAAAGGAAGAACUAAAAUUGUCCCCAUUUGUAGAUAACAUGAUCAUCUAUAAAGAAAAUCCUGAGGUAUUUAUCCUCAUCCCCUCCAAAAACUCUCCUAGAAAUAAUAAGUGAGUUCAUCAAGGUUGCCAUAUGCAACAUAAAUAUAUACAAAUCUAUGGUAUUUCUGUAUACCAGCAACGCACUUGCAAACACCAAAAUCUAAAAUAUAAUAUCAUUUAAAAAAAUGGUUCUCUUAGGUAUAAAUCUAACAAAACAAAUACAGGACUGGAAUGCUGGAAACUACAAAAUGCUAAUGAAACAGAUCAAAGAAGAUCUGAUAAAUGGAGACAUACUGUGUUCAUGGAUUGGAAGAUUCAAGUUAUUAAAGAUGUCAAUUCUCAGCAAAUUGAUAUACAGGCUUAAAGCAUUUCGUAUCAAAACCCCAGAAAGAUUUUGUAGCUAUUACUAGAUUAUUCUAAAGUUUAUAUGGAAAAACAGAGGAACUGAAAUAGCUCAAGCAAUUUUGAUAAAGAGGAAGAAGUGGGAAAAAUCAGUCUACCCAACUUUAAGACUUACUAUAUAACGACAGCAAUCAAAACCGUGUGGCAUUGCAGAGGAGACUAAGACCAACGGAACAGACUAGAGAACCAACAAGUCGAACCACACGAAUACGCCCGGCUGAUUUUGACAAAGAUGGAAAAGAAAUUCAAUGGGAGAAAGAAAUUUUUCACAAGUGGUGCUGGAGUGAUUGGGCAUUAUAGGCAAAAAAAUAGUCCUCGACCUAAGUAUCUCACCUUACGCAAAAAAUUACUCAAAAUGAAUCAAAGACUUGAAUGUAAAAUGUAAAACUAUAAAACUUUUAAAAUAAAAUAAAACAAAAAAUUUUAGAAUAAAAAUCUUCAGAAUCUAAAACUAGGUAAGAGUACUUAGUCUUGACAACAAAACUGAGAUCCAUAAAAGAAAAAAUUAAUAAAUUUGACUUCAUAAAAAUGAAACAUUUUGCUUUUUGAAAGAGCCUGUGAAGAGGAUUAGAAGACAAGGUACAGACUGGGAGAAAAUAUUUGCAAACCACAGAUUUGACAAAGGGCUAGUAUCCAGAAUAUAUAAGGAACUCCCAAAACUCAAUAAUAAGGAAAACCAAACAAUCCAAUUAGAAAAUAGGCUCAAGAUAUGAAGAGACAUUUCACUAAAUAGCAAAUCGUUACCUGAAAAGAUUUCAACACCAUUGUCCAUUAGAGAUAUGCAAAUUAAAACCACAAUGAGACAUCACUGAUACCUAUCGAAAUGUCUAGCAGAAAUAGUGACCAUACCAAAUGCGGAGAAACAGGGUCACUCAUAUAUUGCUGGUGGGAAUGCAAAAUGGCACAGACACUCUAGAAAAGAGUUUAGUAGUUUAUUGAAAACCAAUCAUGCAACUACCAUAUGACUGAGCAAUUGCACUCCUGGGCAUUUACCCCAGAGAAAUGAAAAUUGAUGUUCAUGCAAAAACCUGUACACAUAUAUUUAUAGCAGCUUUAUUCAUAGCAGUCAAAAAUUGGAAACAACCCAUCUGUCCUUCAACAGGUGAAUAGUUAAACAAAAUGUGGUACAUCCAUACCUUGGAAUAUUACUCAGCAAUAAAAAGGAACCAACUAUUGACAGAUGGAAGAACUUAGAUGAAUCUUCAGAGGAUUAUGCUGAGUGAGAAACCAAGUCUCCAAAGGUUACCUACUGUAUGAUUCCACGCACGUGUGUUUGUACAUAACAUUCUUGAAAUGAUAAAACUCUAGAAAUGGAGAAGAGAUUAGUGGUUGCCAGGAGUUAAGGAACGAUGGGAGUGGGAGGGAAAUGGGUGUGGCUAUUGAAAAGAUUUCAUGAUAAUCCUCAUAGUGAUGGCAAUGUUUAGUAUCUUGACUGUAUCAAUGUCAAUAUCUGGGUUGUGAUAUUGUACUAUAGUUUUACAACAUGUUACCAUUGGGGGAAACUGGGUAAAGGCACACAGGACCUCCCGAUAUUAUUUCUUACAACUGCAUAUGAAUCUACAGCUAUCUCAAAACAAAAAAUUCAACUUAAAAAUUGGAAGUCUUUUCCUUGCCUGAUUACAGAUCUAUUAACUUAUUAGAUGUUCCACGCAAAAGGUGGUCAGUUUUUACUACAAAAUGUAAGUCUGGGUUUUUCAGGCCAGUACUUAACAUGAGGAGCCUAGGGUUUUAUGUGUAACUAUUCCACCAUAAGCCACUAUUAGAUUCUUUGCUACCUUGAAGAGAAAUCUGUCUGUAACAACAUAAAUGGUGGUUCUUACAGGCUUUUCCUUGGCCGGUGACUUUAUGAACCUCGAGUGGGUCUAGGCUUAGUUGCAUCACUCCUGACCAGUGAUGCUCGUUAAAACCUACACAUGAACCACCUCGAGAGUCAGAGCAGGAAGUGACUCUUGACAGAUCAGUUAACAACCUCUAAUGGGAUAAACCUGGAAUUUGUUUUGUCUUCUCCUCCUUUUGACUUAGACUUAGAUCAUAAUAAUAUUGUUGUUACUUUUGGGUCACUUAUAUGCAUAACUUCCUGUUAUAGAGAACAGAAAGACAUUCUCUUAUAUGCAGACUACACAUAUAGACUUAUCAUGAUCUAAGAAUGAACAUAACAGGUAUUUGGUCCUACUGGCUAAUUGUUGCAAAAAAGAACAGCUUCAGGUCAGUUAUGCAAAAGCCAAAUUCACUGUUUUGAAGAUAUCCCUCAGCUUUUUACUAGUUUGUCUCAAAUAAUCCCAUAAGACCAGUAAACUCAUUUAUGGUUCAAGAUUUAUGUAGAAAAGGAAGAGGGGCAUGAUCUGCCCACCUAGAGAUGAGGGGCUGUGCUUCUCCAGGGAAGGCAAUCAGACUGUUUCUCAGGCCUUAGGUGGUACCUAUUAUCUUUGGCAAUUUCCCAUGGUCUGUUGGGUGGCCCUUGGUCUUAUGGCCUUAGAAACCUAGUUUUGUCAAUUACAUUCAUCUUAACCAGGCAUAUGAGAUUAGACAUAAAACCAAAACACCAAUGCACUGAUUCACUGAAAAGUGUGUUCCAUACAUGCUUUCAUCAAUGCUUUGAGGCUAUGAAGAAGGUUUUCUCUAAGAACCAGGACAUGAAGGUGUCCACUGAGACUUAAGCUAUAAAAUCAAAACAUAAUGGGGACUGUGGACUGGAAUACCUAAGUGGGCACAGGCAGCCCAUUUUUUCCCUUUAGUCAAGUUGUAUGGGAAGCCAAAUCAUAAACCGAGUAACGAUCAAAUUCAUUUACAACAUCAAAGAUGAUUGUUAUGAUGGGAAUACAUGACGUCCAUAUUUUCCACACAAAAUUUCCCUGUAGGGAUCCUGACAUGGGAAGCCAGAGUAAUCAAGAGAUUGCUUAUAAACAUGGAAGGAGAGCAAGAGGAGUGGGAAUAAUUGAGUGUUUAAUGGUCUCAGACAUCCAUCCAGCUCAUAUUAGGGAGGUUCUUGUCUGGGAAUCUGAACAUUUAUGGUCACUUGGUUACAAUCUCCUGCUUUAAUCCCCACAUGGGGAAUAGCCUUUCCGGCCAAAAAAAUAAUGAAGAUUCAAAAACUGUUGGCUAAGAUUUCUGUUCCCCUGGACAGCGCCCCUUGCUGGUCCACUGCCUGUAUUUCCCUCCACGCUUUUUCUAGGAUAGCCAGGUCCUGCCUGGGUAGCAUUCUCUUUCUUUAAGGUGAUUUUAAAUAUUUCCAGUUCAACCCAUUAUGUUUUGAUUUUACAGUUCAGCUCUCAGAGGAACAUCUUAUUCCAAACUCUUGAGAUUCAACUUGGUAGCCUACAAAUACUGACAAGCAAAGAUUUUUGCGACUUGUUUAUCUUGGAAACCACCCCAAGAAACUAUGUGGUUCAAAUCAAUAAAGAUUUUUCUUUUAUUGACCCAGGUGGUCUUUGGUAUAACUGUUCUAAAACCCUUCAAGGUCAAAGUAAUUUCUGUGUUACUAAGGGGGUGGAGACUUGGGGAUUUUUCCAUGGUCCAUUUUAGAGCAUGCUCCAAAUCAUUUUCUACAUGAUCACUUCUCCCCUCAGUAUGGGGAAAAUAAACAAAAUAACACAGCACUGAGACUGUGCUGUGUACUGAGCUAAAUGUUACUUCAAAGUAAUUGUAUUUAGUCUUUAUUUCAUAAGAACUGAUAUAUGUGUACAAAAAUAGUGUUCUAUUCCCCCUUUUGAAGAGUCUAUAUUUGUCUGUUUUCUACCAGUGGUUCUGAUGUCUUACUUUUGUCAUGGGGUGACAUUGGAU
rnacentral:lncRNA from 1 species